rnacentral:rRNA from 1 species
AACAGAGGGUGCAAACGUUGUUCGGAAUUACUGGGCGUAAAGCGUGCGUAGGUGGUUUGUUAAGUCUGAUGUGAAAGCCCUGGGCUCAACCUGGGAAUUGCAUUGGAUACUGGCAGGCUAGAGUGCGGUAGAGGGUAGUGGAAUUCCCGGUGUAGCAGUGAAAUGCGUAGAGAUCGGGAGGAACACCCGUGGCGAAGGCGGCCAUCUGGACCAGCACUGACGCUGAGGCACGAAAGCGUGGGGAGCAAACAGG